rnacentral:rRNA from 1 species
UAAUACGUAGGGUGCGAGCGUUAAUCGGAAUUACUGGGCGUAAAGCGUGCGCAGGCGGAUUGUUAAGCAAGACGUGAAAUCCCCGGGCUUAACCUGGGAAUGGCGUUUUGAACUGGCAGUCUAGAGUGCGUCAGAGGGGGGUGGAAUUCCACGUGUAGCAGUGAAAUGCGUAGAGAUGUGGAGGAACACCGAUGGCGAAGGCAGCCCCCUGGGAUGACACUGACGCUCAUGUACGAAAGCGUGGGUAGCAAACAGGAUUAGAUACCCUGGUAGUCCACGCCCUAAACGAUGUCAACUGGUUGUUGGGGGAGUGAAAUCCCUUAGUAACGAAGCUAACGCGUGAAGUUGACCGCCUGGGGAGUACGGUCGCAAGAUUAAAACUUAAAGGAAUUGACGG